rnacentral:rRNA from 1 species
GAUGAACGCUGGCGGCGUGCCUAAUACAUGCAAGUCGAGCGAACAGACGAGGAGCUUGCUCCUCUGACGUUAGCGGCGGACGGGUGAGUAACACGUGGAUAACCUACCUAUAAGACUGGGAUAACUUCGGGAAACCGAAGCUAAUACCGGAUAAUAUAUUGAACCGCAUGGUUCAAUAGUGAAAGACGGUUUUGCUGUCACUUAUAGGUGGAUCCGCGCCGCAUUAGCUAGUUGGUAAGGUAACGGCUUACCAAGGCAACGAUGCGUAGCCGACCUGAGAGGGUGAUCGGCCACACUGGAACUGAGACACGGUCCAGACUCCUACGGGAGGCAGCAGUAGGGAAUCUUCCGCAAUGGGCGAAAGCCUGACGGAGCAACGCCGCGUGAGUGAUGAAGGUCUUCGGAUCGUAAAACUCUGUUAUUAGGGAAGAACAAAUGUGUAAGUAACUAUGCACGUCUUGACGGUACCUAAUCAGAAAGCCACGGCUAACUACGUG